rnacentral:rRNA from 1 species
CCUUGCACACACCGCCCGUCAAGUCACGAAAGUUGGUCUUUCCCGAAGUCGCCGCGCUAACCGCAAGGAGGCAGGCGCCGAAGGAACGGUCGAUGAUUGGGACU